GAUGAACGCUGGCGGCGUGCCUAAUACAUGCAAGUCGAGCGAAAAGGUGAGGAGCUUGCUCCUCUGACGUUAGCGGAGGACGGGUGAAUAACACGUGGAUAACCUACCUAUAAGACUGGGAUAACUUCGGGAAACCGGCGCUAAUACCGGAGAAUAUAUUGCACCGCAUUGGUCGAUAGUGAAAGACGGCUGUGCUGUCAGGUAUAGCUGGAUACGCGCCGCAUUAGCUAGUUGUUAAGGUAACAGCUUACCACGGCUACGAUGCGUAGGCGACCGCAGGGGGUGGUCGGCGACCCUGGAACUGAGACACGGUCCAGACGCCUACGGGAGGCAGCAGUAGGGAAUCUUCCGCAAUGGGCGAAAGCCUGACGGAGCAACGCCGCGUGAGUGAUGAAGGUCUUCGGAUCGUAAAACUCUGUUAUUAGGGAAGAACAAAUGUGUAAGUAACUAUGCACUUCUUGACGGUACCUAAUCAGAAAGCCACGGCUAACUACGUG
rnacentral:rRNA from 1 species